rnacentral:rRNA from 1 species
CAUUGAACGCUGGCGGCAUGCCUUACACAUGCAAGUCGAACGGCAGCACGGGAGCAAUCCUGGUGGCGAGUGGCGAACGGGUGAGUAAUGUAUCGGAACGUACCUUUCAGUGGGGGAUAACGUAGCGAAAGUUACGCUAAUACCGCAUAUUCUGUGAGCAGGAAAGCAGGGGAUCGCAAGACCUUGCGCUGAUUGAGCGGCCGAUAUCAGAUUAGCUAGUUGGUGAGGUAAAGGCUCACCAAGGCGACGAUCUGUAGCGGGUCUGAGAGGAUGAUCCGCCACACUGGAACUGAGACACGGUCCAGACUCCUACGGGAGGCAGCAGUGGGGAAUUUUGGACAAUGGGGGCAACCCUGAUCCAGCCAUGCCGCGUGAGUGAAGAAGGCCUUCGGGUUGUAAAGCUCUUUCAGCCGGGAAGAAAUCACAUGGGUUAAUACCCUGUGUGGAUGACGGUACCGGAAUAAGAAGCGCCGGCUAACUACGUGCCAGCAGCCGCGGUAAUACGUAGGGUGCGAGCGUUAAUCGGAAUUACUGGGCGUAAAGCGUGCGCAGGCGGUUUGUUAAGAUAGGCGUGAAAUCCCCGGGCUCAACCUGGGAACUGCGUUUAUGACUGGCAGGCUAGAGUAUGGCAGAGGGGGGUGGAAUUCCACGUGUAGCGGUGAAAUGCGUAGAGAUGUGGAGGAACACCGAUGGCGAAGGCAGCCCCCUGGGCCAAUACUGACGCUCAUGCACGAAAGCGUGGGUAGCAAACAGG